GAAAUUACCUUUUUCUAGAAUUAUAGGAUUUUAAGGAAGAAUUUGAGUCAUCCCAUUUUGGAAAAUAAAUAUGCACUGUGAACAUGAAGCAAAAAUUGGAAGUAGAAAUUCAGUGAAGAUUUUCUGCUCAAACUUAUUAGAAAGGCUUAAUGAGGCUCCAAGCUCUGGAAGAAGCUCUCAGAAGACUACGCCAAGGGACUGGCAGGUGGAUUAGAUGAGAUGAUGAUCACACAUACUGAUUCUACCCUUAUUGGUGCAGGAGAAGGGAGAGAUGGAGGUCACAAAGAGCACCUGCA
rnacentral:lncRNA from 1 species